UCGACGGGUAGCUGGUCAGAGAGGAUGAUCAGCCACACUGGGACUGUGACACGGCCCAGACUCCUACGGGAGGCAGCAGUGGGGAAUCUUGCACAAUGGGCGAAAGCCUGAUGCAGCAAUGCCGCGUGCGGGAAGAAGGCCCUAGGGUUGUAAACCGCUUUCAGCAGGGAAGAAAAUGACGGUACCUGCAGAAGAAGGUGCGGCCAACUACGUGCCAGCAGCCGCGGUGACACGUAGGCACCAAGCGUUAUCCGGAUUUAUUGGGCGUAAAGAGCUCGUAGGCGGUUCGGUAAGUCGGGUGUGAAAACUCUGGGCUCAACCCAGAGAGGCCACUCGAUACUGCUGUGACUAGAGUGCGGUAGGGGAGCGGGGAAUUCAUGGUGUAGCGGUGAAAUGCGCAGAUAUCAUGAGGAACACCAGUGGCGAAGGCGCCGCUCUGGGCCGUAACUGACGCUGAGGAGCGAAAGCAUGGGUAGCAAACAGGAUUAGAUACCCUGGUAGUCCAUGCCGUAAACGUUGGGCACUAGGUGUGGGUCUCAACCAACGAGAUCCGCGCCGUCGCUAACGCAUUAAGUGCCCCGCCUGGGGAGUACGGAA
rnacentral:rRNA from 1 species